GACGAACGCUGGCGGCGUGCCUAAUACAUGCAAGUCGAACGCAGUGGGGACGGGUGAGUAACACGUGGGUAACCUCCCAUCAGAGGGGAUAACACUUGGAAACAGGUGCUAAACCGAUACUGAUGGAUGGACCCGCGGUGCAUUAGCUAGUUGGUGAGGUAACGGCUCCCCAAGGCCACGAUGCAUAGCCGGCCUGAGAGGUGGAGCGGCCCAACUGGGACUGAGACACGGCCCAGACUCCUACGGGAGGCAGCAGUAGGGAAUCUUCGACAAUGGACGAAAGUCUGACCGAGCAACGCCGCGUGAGUGAAGAAGGUUUUCGGAUCGUAAAGCUCUGUUGUUAGAGAAGCGGUAUCUAACCAUAAAGCCACGGCUAACUACGUGCCAGCAGCCGCGGUAAUAC
rnacentral:rRNA from 1 species